rnacentral:lncRNA from 1 species
GGCUUCAUUUUUUGGCUUGGAUCAGGGCACUGUACUUGAUAUCAUUUGAAGCAACCUUGUUAUUGGAUCCUGGAGAUUGAUCCUAACUACCAAGAAAAAUCAAGAAACCUUUUCUUGAUUUUUUUUUCUUUCUCUUUAAGGCCUCUCUCUUGAUUUGAUCUAGAAGGUAGAACCAGGGCGUGGAAGGGACAAAAGGUGGCGUGA